CUCUCCAUGUCAGCACUCUACCCCCAAUACCACGUGCCCUGAUUUUGCCCACUAAUCUCCUAUGUGGGAUUUUAUCAAAUGCUUUCUGAAAGCCCAGGUACAAUACAUCCGCUGGCUCUCUCUUUUACAUUUUCCUAAAUCACAUCCUCAAAAAAAUCCAGUAGAUUAGUCAAG